CUUGUCCAGUGUCAGAUCAUUUUGCGUGUUACCCAACCGUGUUCAGUCCUGUCUUCUCGUCCGUGAGUUUUGAUCCUCUACCACUAACCUGCUGUCUGCCUACCGGCCUUGCCUCUGCAUUUUGGGUCCACCAUUCCCUACUCUUCCCUGCUACACCGCAACAGAUUUCAUCCCUAAAAAAAAAUGCAUUGCAUUUUGCAUAAUUGCGUAAGAAGAAGAUGUAACCUGUCAUUAAGGAUGAACUCCGUCUCAGAUGAACAAGGUUUCCUGGAGUGAGUUUGCUCCUGAUGAAGACGAGGCUAAUGAUGAAGAGUGGGAUCUGACCCAGAAGAUUCACUUUGAUAUUUUCCUAUUGUUUAAUUUAUUCAAUACAAUUAUUAAUUUUCA